AACGAACGCUGGCGGCAUGCCUAACACAUGCAAGUCGAACGAUCCCUUCGGGGUUAGUGGCGCACGGGUGCGUAACGCGUGGGAACCUGCCCUUAGGUUCGGAAUAACUCAGAGAAAUUUGAGCUAAUACCGGAUAAUGUCUUCGGACCAAAGAUUUACCGCCUUUGGAUGGGCCCGCGUUGGAUUAGCUAGUUGGUGGGGUAAAGGCCUACUAAGGCGACGAUCCAUAGCUGGUCUGAGAGGAUGAUCAGCCACACUGGGACUGAGACACGGCCCAGACUCCGACGGGAGGCAGCAGUGGGGAAUAUUGGACAAUGGGCGAAAGCCUGAUCCAGCAAGGCCGCGUGAGUGAUUAAGGCCGUAGGAUUGUAAAGCUCUUUUACCCGGGAUGAUAAUGACAGUACCGGGAGAAUAAGCCCCGGCUAACUCCGU
rnacentral:rRNA from 1 species